rnacentral:rRNA from 1 species
CCUACGGGUGGCUGCAGUGGGGAAUAUUGGGCAAUGGGCGCAAGCCUGACCCAGCAACGCCGCGUGAAGGAAGAAGGCUUUCGGGUUGUAAACUUCUUUUUUCAGGGACGUAGCAAGUGACGGUACCUGAGGAAUAAGCCACGGCUAACUACGUGCCAGCAGCCGCGGUAAUACGUAGGCCGCAAUCGUUAUCCGGAUUUACUGGGUGUAAAGGGCGUGUAGGCGGGGACGUAAGUCAGAUGUGAAAACCACGGGCUCAACCUGUGGCCUGCAUUUGAUACUGUGUUUCUUGAGUACUGGGGAGGCAGACGGAAUUCCUAGUGUAGCGGUGAAAUGCGUAGAUAUUAGGAGGAACACCAGUGGCGAAGGCAGUCUGCUGGACAGCAACUGACGCUGAGGCGCGAAAGCGUGGGGAGCAAACAGGAUUAGAUACCCUUGUAGUC